CGACGCAACGACGAAGUAACCUUACCGAGGGCUUGACACUCCCUGACCGCGUAUGAAAGUACGUUUUCACCCUCGGGUGACAGGGAGACAGGUGGUGCAUGGUUGUCGUCAGCUCGUGUCGUGAGAUGUUGGGUUAAGUCCCGCAACGAGCGCAACCCCUACGUUUAGUUGCUAACGCGUGAAGGCGAGCACUCUAGACGAACUGCCGUUGACAAAACGGAGGAAGGUGGGGAUGACGUCAAAUCAUCAUGCCCCUUAUGUUCUGGGCUACACGCGUGCUACAAUGGCCGGUACAGACGGACGCAAAGCUGCGAGGCGGAGCAAAUCCGAAAAAGCCGGUCUCAGUUCGGAUUGCAGGCUGCAAUUCGCCUGCAUGAAGUCGGAAUCGCUAGUAAUCGCAGGUCAGCAUACUGCGGUGAAUACGUUCCCGGGCCUU
rnacentral:rRNA from 1 species